UCCAUGGUGGCUCAGAUGGUAAAGCAUCUGCUUGCAAUGCAGGAGACCCAGGUUCAAUCCCCGGGUUAGGAA
rfam:Ovis aries breed Texel chromosome 12, whole genome shotgun sequence.